rnacentral:rRNA from 1 species
GAUGAACGCUGGCGGCGUGCCUAAUACAUGCAAGUCGAGCGAACGGACGAGAAGCUUGCUUCUCUGAUGUUAGCGGCGGACGGGUGAGUAACACGUGGAUAACCUACCUAUAAGACUGGGAUAACUUCGGGAAACCGGAGCUAAUACCGGAUGAUAUUUUGAACCGCAUGGUUCAAAAGUGAAAGACGGUCUUGCUGUCACUUAUAGAUGGAUCCGCGCUGCAUUAGCUAGUUGGUAAGGUAACGGCUUACCAAGGCAACGAUGCAUAGCCGACCUGAGAGGGUGAUCGGCCACACUGGAACUGAGACACGGUCCAGACUCCUACGGGAGGCAGCAGUUGGGAAUCUUCCGCAAUGGGCGAAAGCCUGACGGAGCAACGCCGCGUGAGUGAUGAAGGUCUUCGGAUCGUAAAACUCUGUUAUUAGGGAAGAACAUAUGUGUAAGUAACUGUGCACAUCUUGACGGUACCUAAUCAGAAAGCCACGGCUAACUACGUG